UACGUAGGGCGCAAGCGUUGUCCGGAAUUAUUGGGCGUAAAGAGCUCGUAGGCGGUCUGUCGCGUCUGUUGUGAAAACUCGAGGCUCAACCUCGGGCUUGCAGUGGAUACGGGCAGACUAGAGUGCGGUAGGGGAGACUGGAAUUCCUGGUGUAGCGGUGGAAUGCGCAGAUAUCAGGAGGAACACCGAUGGCGAAGGCGGGUCUCUGGGCCGCAACUGACGCUGAGGAGCGAAAGCAUGGGGAGCGAACAGG
rnacentral:rRNA from 1 species